rnacentral:rRNA from 1 species
CCUACGGGCGGCUGCAGUGGGGAAUAUUGGGCAAUGGAGGCAACUCUGACCCAGCAAUGCCGCGUGAAUGAAGAAGGUCUUCGGAUUGUAAAGUUCUUUAAUCAGGGACGAAGAAAAUGACGGUACCUGACUAAGAAGCCCCGGCUAACUACGUGCCAGCAGCCGCGGUAAUACGUAGGGGGCAAGCGUUAUCCGGAUUUACUGGGUGUAAAGGGAGCGUAGACGGUUAUGCAAGUCUGAAGUGAAAGCCCAAGGGUCAACCAUGGGACUGCUUUGGAAACUGUAAAACUGGAGUGCAGGAGAGGUAAGCGGAAUUCGUAGUGUAGCGGUGAAACGCGUAGAUAUUAGGAGGAACACCAGUGGCGAAGGCGGCUUACUGGACUGUAACUGACGUUGAGGCUCGAAGGCGUGGGGAGCAAACAGGAUUAGAUACCCCAGUAGUC